UGAAAUCGCUGAAAGGGAAGCGAAUGGAACCAGUCUUCUGGCUGAGAUUGCUGCAUGCUACUGUGAUGCCUGGCUGCUUCAACGCAAGUGUUGUAGUUAGAGUUGAUCAGCUGCGUGUGGUGUUUCUCAGCUUGUUAGUCAACCUCUGUUUGCGCUUGGGGAUAGCCUCAGGUACACGUCGCUUCUCUGCGGAGUUGCUCCUGUGCUUGUAGGGACUCAGGUGCAUACUUUUGGUGACAAAAUGGUUCUCUUCGACCCGUCUUGAAACACGGACCAAGGAGUCUAGCACAUGUGCAAGUUCACAGGUGGCAAGCCUGCUUGCGCAAUGAAGGUGACUGCUGGGAUAUUUGCACCAGCAACCGACCAAUCAAUUGAGAGAAGUUUGAGUAUGAGCAUAUGUGUUAGG
rnacentral:rRNA from 1 species